AUGACGCUGGCGGCAGGCCUACACAUGCAGUCGAGCGGAACGACACUAACAAUCCUUCGGGUGCGUUAAUGGGCGUCGAGCGGCGGACGGGUGAGUAAUGCCUAGGAAAUUGCCUUGAUGUGGGGGAUAACCCUUGUUAACGAUGGCUAAUACCGCAUAAUGCCUACGGGCCAAAGAGGGGGACCUUCGGGCCUCUCGCGUCAAGAUAUGCCUAGGUGGGAUUAGCUAGUUGGUGAGGUAAUGGCUCACCAAGGCGACGAUCCCUAGCUGGUCUGAGAGGAUGAUCAGCCACACUGGAACUGAGACACGGUCCAGACUCCUACGGGAGGCAGCAGUGGGGAAUAUUGCACAAUGGGCGAAAGCCUGAUGCAGCCAUGCCGCGUGUAUGAAGAAGGCCUUCGGGUUGUAAAGUACUUUCAGUUGUGAGGAAGGGGGUAGCGUUAAUAGCGCUAUCUCUUGACGUUAGCAACAGAAGAAGCACCGGCUAACUCCGUGCCAGCAGCCGCGGUAAUACGGAGGGUGCGAGCGUUAAUCGGAAUUACUGGGCGUAAAGCGCAUGCAGGUGGUUCAUUAAGUCAGAUGUGAAAGCCCGGGGCUCAACCUCGGAACUGCAUUUGAAACUGGUGAACUAGAGUACUGUAGAGGGGGGUAGAAUUUCUGUGUAGCGGUGAAAUGCGUAGAGAUCUGAAGGAAUACCAGUGGCGAAGGCGGCCCCUGGACC
rnacentral:rRNA from 1 species